rnacentral:lncRNA from 1 species
AUAUACUUUCCCGUCAAUCUGAUGUUAUUCCUCUCCCUUCAGAUAAGUGCAAUAGUAUUGACAAAAACAGAGGCUGCUAUAGCAUUGAGCCCCCUUCUGCUUCUUGCUUUGCUGCAAAUCCAGUGCAGCUCUAUUUCCCAAUCACCAACAGAUUUGUGGUGCCCCAGCCAAACACAGAGUCAGGACCACAGUCUUCUAGUAAUAGAACACUCAAAGAAUAAAUGAUUAAACACUUCAGCAUUCUGAUUACAGAACACACAAGUUACAGGAAUUUGUAUGCCAAAUUUCUGCAAUCUGUCUGCUGUUGGAAGACUUUGCUGUGCAGCUAACCACACAGUGAAUUGAUGCCUAGGCUGAACAUUUGCAGUCAUCAUCAAAUUCUUCCAUUCAACAUUGCUGAAGCUGGGAAUCAUUGUGAGAUAUAGUUGCUGAAUAUGGAAUUUAUCCAGUUUGCAUACUCCUUUCAUUCUGCCAAAAAUAUCCCCCUAAAGUACCUGAUUCUCCAUGAUAGCAGCUCUACUGUCCAGUAUUUUCCUAACAACCCAAGAUCUUUUUCUUUUCUUCUUUUCUCACAUUUAACUACUCUUAGACUUGUUCAAUAAAGCAAGAGGACAUAUAGACUGAAACUAAAUGAAAGAGGACAGAUAGACUGAAACAAUAAUGUGAAUAAAAAAAAAAUCUUAAUAUUAGAAUAUUCAACACGUCAUAUAUGGAAUUUUCUACCACCUUC